UUGAGAGGGGGAAGAAAAACAUUCGGAAAUGGUUAGGGUGGAGGAGAGGAUUCAGAGAUUCGGGAAUUAGGGAGGUUAAGAAAAAAGAAGGAUACAAGGUUUUUGGGUAGGGGUCAGAAAAGGGACUUCUGGCAAUCAAUGCUGAGAGGUCGAUGUGUUGUAUUGGUGAAUCGAGAUUUUAAUGAAGUAGGUGUGAUUACUCUUGACUGUUUUGUGAAAUC
rnacentral:lncRNA from 1 species